GAUGAACGCUAGCGACAGGCCUAACACAUGCAAGUCGAGGGGUAACAGAUGAAGAGCUUGCUCAGAUUGCUGACGACCGGCGCACGGGUGAGUAACACGUAUGCAACCUACCUUUUACAGAGGGAUAGCCCAGAGAAAUUUGGAUUAAUACCUCAUAAUAUUUUUGACUCGCAUGAGUUUUAAAUUAAAACUUCGGUGGUAAAAGAUGGGCAUGCGUUCUAUUAGUUUGUUGGUGAGGUAACGGCUUACCAAGACUACGAUAGAUAGGGGUUCUGAGAGGAUAGUCCCCCACACUGGUACUGAGACACGGACCAGACUCCUACGGGAGGCAGCAGUGAGGAAUAUUGGUCAAUGGUCGAAAGACUGAACCAGCCAUGUCGCGUGAAGGAUGACGGCCCUAUGGGUUGUAAACUUCUUUUGUAUGGGAAGAAAAGCAGUUACGUGUAAUUGUCUGCCGGUACCAUACGAAUAAGGAUCGGCUAACUCCG
rnacentral:rRNA from 1 species